GCCUGGGUGGCUCAGUCGGUUGAGCAUCUGACUCUUGAUCUCAGCUCAGGCUUUGAUCUCAAGGUUGUGAGUUCAAGCCCCACAUUGGGCA
rnacentral:tRNA from 1 species